rnacentral:misc_RNA from 1 species
UUUCCGUAGGUGAACCUGCGGAAGGAUCAUUACAGUGUUCUCUGCCCUCACGGGUAGAAACGCCCACCCUUGUGUAUUAUAUCUUUGUUGCUUUGGCAGGCCGCCCUCGGGCACCGGCUCCGGCUGGAUCGCGCCUGCCAGAGGAAACCCAAACUCUGAAUGUUAGUGUCGUCUGAGUACUAUCUAAUAGUUAAAACUUUCAACAGCGGAUCUCUUGGUUCUG